rnacentral:rRNA from 1 species
AGACAUGCAAGUCGCACGGGAUUGAUUGAGUAGUAAUACAAGAUCAGUCUAGUGGCGCACGGGUGAGUAACACGUGAAUGACAUGCCCUUCAGUGGGGAAUAGCCCAGGGAAACUUGGAUUAAUACCCCAUGGUAUCUUGCCCUCAGAAGCAAGAUUAAAGGUGGCCAGCAAUGGCUGUCGCUGAAGGAUUGGUUCGCGCCCUAUCAGCUUGUUGGUGAGGUAACGGCUCACCAAGGCUACGACGGGUACCUGGUCUGAGAGGACGAUCAGGCACACUGGAACUGAGACACGGUCCAGACACCUACGGGUGGCAGCAGUCGAGAAUAAUUCACAAUGGGGGCAACCCUGAUGGUGCAACGCCGCGUGGAGGAUGACGGUCUUCGGAUUGUAAACUCCUGUCAUCUGGGAGUAAGGCGUAGUUGUUAACAGCAAAUACGAUUGAUAGUACCAGAAGAGGAAGGGACGGCUAACUUCGUGCCAGCAGCCGCGGUAAUACGAAGGUCCCGAGCGUUGUUCGGAAUCACUGGGCGUAAAGGGAGCGUAGGCGGCGCGGUAAGUCAGAUGUGAAAUCCCGGGGCUCAACCCCGGAACUGCAUCCGAUACUGCCGUGCUAGAGUGAUGGAGAGGUAGCUGGAAUUCACGGUGUAGCAGUGAAAUGCGUAGAUAUCGUGAGGAACACUCGUGGCGAAAGCGAGCUACUGGACAUUUACUGACGCUGAGGCUCGAAGGCUAGGGUAGCGAAAGGGAUUAGAUACCCCUGUAGUCCUAGCAGUAAACGGUGCACGCUUGGUGUGAGGGGAAUCGACCCCCCUUGUGCCGGAGCUAACGCGUUAAGCGUGCCGCCUGGGAAGUACGGUCGCAAGACUAAAACUCAAAGAAAUUGACGGGGACCCGCACAAGCGGUGGAGUAUGUGGCUUAAUUCGAUGCAACGCGAAGAACCUUACCAAGGCUUGACAUGCAUCUCUAAACACGUGAAAGCGUGUGACCCUUCGGGGAAUUUGCACAGGUGCUGCAUGGCCGUCGUCAGCUCGUGUC